AGUGAACGCUGGCGGUAGGCCUAACACAUGCAAGUCGAACGGCAGCACAGUAAGAGCUUGCUCUUACGGGUGGCGAGUGGCGGACGGGUGAGGAAUACAUCGGAAUCUACUUUUUCGUGGGGGAUAACGUAGGGAAACUUACGCUAAUACCGCAUACGACCUACGGGUGAAAGCAGGGGAUCUUCGGACCUUGCGCGAUUGAAUGAGCCGAUGUCGGAUUGGCUAGUUGGCGGGGUAAAGGCCCACCAAGGCGACGAUCCGUAGCUGGUCUGAGAGGAUGAUCAGCCACACUGGAACUGAGACACGGUCCAGACUCCUACGGGAGGCAGUAGUGGGGAAUAUUGGACAAUGGGCGCAAGCCUGAUCCAGCCAUACCGCGUGGGUGAAGAAGGCCUUCGGGUUGUAAAGCCCUUUUGUUGGGAAAGAAAAGCAGCAGGUUAAUACCCCGCUGUUCUGACGGUACCCAAAGAAUAAGCACCGGCUAACUUCGUG
rnacentral:rRNA from 1 species